GGGCUGUGAUGAGUACUAGAGGAAGUCAUGCACCACUCUGAUGAUUCAGUGUUGACAAGCUUCUCAUACCCAUUAAAUCUGAGCCC